GAUGAAGAACGCAGCGAAAUGAGAUACGUAAUGUGAAUUGCAGAAUUCAGUGAAUCAUCGAAUCUUUGAACGCAUAUUGCGCUCUCUGGUAUUCCGGAGAGCAUGCUUGUUUGAGUAUCAGUAAACACCUCAACUUCCAUAUCUUUUUUGAAAUGGGAGUUGGACUUGAGUGAUCCCAACGCUUUUCCUCACCGAAAAGUGGCGGGUUACUUGAAAUGCAGGUGCAGCUGGACUUUUCUCUGAGCUAUAAGCAUAUCUAUUUAGUCUGCCUAAAAAACAGAUUAUUACCUUUGCUGCAGCUAACAUAAAGGAGAUUAGUUCUUGUGCUGACUGAUGCAGGAUUCACAAAGACGGCUUCGGCCGACUUUGUAAACUCGAUCUCAAAUCAAGUAAGACUACCCGCUGAACUUAAGCAUAUCAAUAAGCGGAGGA
rnacentral:misc_RNA from 1 species